GGAAACAGGUAGAUGGUCGCCUCUCGCCGAAGCCUUCAGGCGACGGCGGGGGGAGGAAAGUCCGAACUCCGCAGGGCAGGGCGCCCCGAGAAGAUCGGGGGCCCCGGCGGGGAGACCCGCCGGGGACGGAAAGUGCCGCAGAAAACAGACCGCCGAUGGCCCGCCGGCGCUCCGUAAGGAGCUAUGGCGCGCACAGGCAAGGGUGAAAAGGUGCCCCUCGUUGACGAGGGCUUGUCCGCUCCGGCGGGCAAGGGUAAGAGCGCACCGCCCGGAGCGUGAGCGACGGGGCAGGGCAAACCCCGCCCGGAGCAAGGCCAAAUAGGGGCCGAGGUGCGGCCCGCACCGCUGGAGGCCCGGGUAGGCCGCGUUGAGCCCGAGGGCAACCGAGGGCCGAGAUAGAUGACCAUCGCCCCCUUCGGGGGGGACAGAAUUCGGCUUAUUCCUGUUUCCGGCC
rnacentral:RNase_P_RNA from 1 species